GUGUCCGUGGCUCAAUGGUUAGAGCGUUUGACUUCUGAUCAACAGGUCGCGGGUUCG
rnacentral:tRNA from 1 species